rnacentral:rRNA from 1 species
AGUACGGCGGAACACGUGAAAUUCCGUCGGAAUCCGGGAGGACCAUCUCCCAAGGCUAAAUACUCCCUAGUGACCGAUAGUGAACCAGUACCGUGAGGGAAAGGUGAAAAGCACCCCGGAAGGGGAGUGAAACAGUUCCUGAAACCGUGUGCCUACAAGUAGUUAGAGCCCGUUAAUGGGUGAUAGCGUGCCUUUUGUAGAAUGAACCGGCGAGUUACGAUUUGUUGCAAGGUUAAGCGGAAAAAGCGGAGCCGUAGCGAAAGCGAGUCUGAAUAGGGCGCAUAAGUAACAGGUCGUAGACCCGAAACCAGGUGAUCUACCCAUGUCCAGGAUGAAGGUAAGGUAAUACUUACUGGAGGUCCGAACCCACGCACGUUGAAAAGUGCGGGGAUGAGGUGUGGGUAGCGGAGAAAUUCCAAUCGAACUUGGAGAUAGCUGGUUCUCUCCGAAAUAGCUUUAGGGCUAGCCUCGAGGUAAAGAGUCAUGGAGGUAGAGCACUGUUUGGACUAGGGGCCCUUCUCGGGUUACCGAAUUCAGAUAAACUCCGAAUGCCAUGUACUUAUACUCGGGAGUCAGACUGCGAGUGAUAAGAUCCGUAGUCGAAAGGGAAACAGCCCAGACCACCAGUUAAGGUCCCCAAAUAUAUGUUAAGUGGAAAAGGAUGUGGGGUUGCUUAGACAACCAGGAUGUUGGCUUAGAAGCAGCCACCAUUGAAAGAGUGCGUAAUAGCUCACUGGUCGAGUGACCCCGCGCCGAAAAUGUACCGGGGCUAAACAUAUUACCGAAACUGUGGAUGAACCUCUUUAGAGGUUCGUGGUAGGAGAGCGUUCUAAGGGCGGUGAAGUCAGACCGGAAGGACUGGUGGAGCGCUUAGAAGUGAGAAUGCCGGUAUGAGUAGCGAAAGAAGGGUGAGAAUCCCUUCCACCGAAUAUCUAAGGUUUCCUGAGGAAGGCUCGUCCGCUCAGGGUUAGUCGGGACCUAAGCCGAGGCCGAUAGGCGUAGGCGAUGGACAACAGGUAGAGAUUCCUGUACCAGUGCUAAUUGUUUAACCGAUGGGGUGACACAGAAGGAUAGGGAAUCGCACGAAUGGAAAUGUGCGUCCAAGCAGUGAGUGUGAGAAGUAGGCAAAUCCGCUUCUCGCGAAGCAUGAGCUGUGAUGGGGAAGGAAAUUAAGUACGGAAGUUCCUGAUUUCACGCUGUCAAGAAAAGCCUCUAGGAAGAGUAGUACUGCCCGUACCGCAAACCGACACAGGUAGAUGAGGAGAGAAUCCUAAGGUGAGCGAGAGAACUCUCGUUAAGGAACUCGGCAAAAUGACCCCGUAACUUCGGGAGAAGGGGUGCUCUAUUAGGGUGCAAGCCCGAGAGAGCCGCAGUGAAUAGGCCCAGGCGACUGUUUAGCAAAAACACAGGUCUCUGCAAAACCGUAAGGUGACGUAUAGGGGCUGACGCCUGCCCGGUGCUGGAAGGUUAAGAGGAGUGCUUAGCUUCGGCGAAGGUACGAAUUGAAGCCCCAGUAAACGGCGGCCGUAACUAUAACGGUCCUAAGGUAGCGAAAUUCCUUGUCGGGUAAGUUCCGACCCGCACGAAAGGCGCAACGAUCUGGGCACUGUCUCAACGAGAGACUCGGUGAAAUUAUAGUACCUGUGAAGAUGCAGGUUACCCGCGACAGGACGGAAAGACCCCGUGGAGCUUUACUGCAACCUGAUAUGGAAUGUUUGUACCGCUUGUACAGGAUAGGUAGGAGCCGAAGAGACGUGUGCGCUAGCAUACGAGGAGGCAAUGGUGGGAUACUACCCUGGCUGUAUGACCAUUCUAACCCGCCACGCUUAGCGCGUGGGGAGACAGUGUCAGGUGGGCAGUUUGACUGGGGCGGUCGCCUCCUAAAGAGUAACGGAGGCGCCCAAAGGUUCCCUCAGAAUGGAUGGAAAUCAUUCGCAGAGUGUAAAGGCACAAGGGAGCUUGACUGCGAGACUGACAAGUCGAGCAGGGACGAAAGUCGGGCUUAGUGAUCCGGUGGUUCCGCAUGGAAGGGCCAUCGCUCAACGGAUAAAAGCUACCCCGGGGAUAACAGGCUUAUCUCCCCCAAGAGUCCACAUCGACGGGGAGGUUUGGCACCUCGAUGUCGGCUCGUCGCAUCCUGGGGCUGUAGUCGGUCCCAAGGGUUGGGCUGUUCGCCCAUUAAAGCGGCACGCGAGCUGGGUUCAGAACGUCGUGAGACAGUUCGGUCCCUAUCCGUCGCGGGCGCAGGAAAUUUGAGAGGAGCUGUCCUUAGUACGAGAGGACCGGGAUGGACACACCGCUGGUGUACCAGUUGUUCCGCCAGGAGCAUCGCUGGGUAGCUAUGUGUGGCAGGGAUAAACGCUGAAAGCAUCUAAGCGUGAAGCCCCCCUCAAGAUGAGAUUUCCCAUUUCUUCGGAAAGUAAGAUCCCUGAAAGAUGAUCAGGUAGAUAGGUUUGGAGUGGAAGUGUAGCGAUACAUGGAGCGGACAAAUACUAAUCGAUCGAGGACUUAACCAA